rnacentral:rRNA from 1 species
AUUGAACGCUGGCGGCAGGCCUAACACCUGCAAGUCGAACGAGUGGCGGACGGGUGAGUAAUGUCUGGGAAACUGCCUGAUGGAGGGGGUUAACUACGGGAAACGGUAGCUAAUACCGCAAACCAUCGGAUGUGCCCCGAUGGGGUUAGCUCGGAGGUGGGGUAACGGCUCACCUAGGCGACGAUCCCUACCUGGACUGAGAGCAUGGCCAGCAACAAUGGAACUGCGACACGGUCCAGACUCCUACGGGAGGCCACUGUGGGGACUAUUGCACAAUUGGCGCCAGCCUGAUGCAGCCAUGCCGCGUGUAUGAAGAAGGCCCUCAGGUUGUGCAGUAGUUUCAGCGGUGAGGCGUUACCCGCAGAAGAAGCACCGGCUAACUCCGUGCCAGCAGCCGCGGUAAUUC